UACGUAGGGUGCAAGCGUUAAUCGGAAUUAUUGGGCGUAAAGGGUGCGCAGGCGGUUGUAUAAGUCAGAUGUGAAAUCCCUGGGCUUAACCUAGGAAUUGCGUUUGAAACUAUAUGACUAGAGUGUGACAGAGGGGAGUGGAAUUCCAUGUGUAGCAGUGAAAUGCGUAGAGAUGUGGAAGAACACCGAUGGCGAAGGCAGCUCCCUGGGUUAACACUGACGCUCAUGCACGAAAGCGUGGGGAGCAAAC
rnacentral:rRNA from 1 species